rnacentral:rRNA from 1 species
UGGGGAAUCUUGGACAAUGGGCGCAAGCCUGAUCCAGUCAUGCCGCGUGAGUGAAGAAGGCCUUCGGGUUGUAAAGCUCUUUUACCAGGGACGAUAAUGACGGUACCUGGAGAAUAAGCCCCGGCAAACUUCGUGCCAGCAGCCGCGGUAAUACGAAGGGGGCUAGCGUUGUUCGGAAUUACUGGGCGUAAAGCGCACGUAGGCGGAUUGUUAAGUCAGAGGUGAAAUCCCGGAGCUCAACUUCGGAACUGCCUUUGAUACUGGCAAUCUCGAGUCCGGAAGAGGUUAGUGGAAUUCCCAGUGUAGAGGUGAAAUUCGUAGAUAUUGGGAAGAACACCAGUGGCGAAGGCGGCUAACUGGUCCGGUACUGACGCUGAGGUGCGAAAGCGUGGGGAGCAAACAGGAUUAGAUACCCGAGUAGUCCCUGAGCGGGCUGGCAAGGCGCAU